rnacentral:rRNA from 1 species
AUUGAACGCUGGCGGCAGGCCUAACACAUGCAAGUCGAGCGCGCGGCGGACGGGUGAGAAAUGUCUGGGAAACUGCCUGUUGGAGGGGGAUAACUACUGGAGACGGUAGCUAAUACCGCGUACCCUCAGAUUUGCCCAGAUGGGAGUAGAUAGUAGGGGGGGUAACGGCUCACCUAGGCGACGAUCCCUAGCUGGUCUGAGAGGAGGACCAGCCACACUGGAACUGAGACACGGUCCAGACGCCUACGGGAGGGAGCAGUGGGGAAUAUUGCACAAUGGGCGCAAGCCUGAUGCAGCCAUGCCGCGUGUGUGAAGAAGGCUUUCGGGUUGUAAAGCACUUUCAGCGGGGAGGCGUUACCCGCAGAAGAAGCACCGGCUAACUCCGUGCCAGCAGCCGCGGUAAUAC